rnacentral:rRNA from 1 species
UACGUAGGUCACGAGCGUUAUCCGGAAUUAUUGGGCGUAAAGAGUGAGCAGGCGGCACGGUAAGUUUGGAGUGAAAGCGUUGGGCUUAACCCAAUAUAGCUUCAAAAACUGCCGAGCUAGAGUAUGUGAGAGGUAAACGGAACUCCAUGUGUAGCGGUGAAAUGCGUAGAUAUAUGGAAGAACACCAGUGGCGAAGGCGGUUUACCAGCACAAUACUGACGCUCAGUCACGAAAGCGUGGGGAGCAAAUA